rnacentral:tRNA from 1 species
AAGGAUUUAAGUUAAAUUAAACUAAUAGCCUUCAAAGCUGUAAAUAGAGUCAACAAGGUCUAAUCCUUG